CAAGUUAAAUUUUAGAAAUGUUGUUAUUUACAAUAAUGAUUAGGAUCGUGCAAUUCGUUCUAACUUGA
rnacentral:tRNA from 1 species